GGACGGAGGCCAGCAUGUCCACACCCGAGCCAGGAAAGGGCGGAGCCACCAGCCAUAGAGCCUGAAGCAGGAAGCAGAGCCCCUGGGGACAGAAGGCUGCCACACCACUGCCCUGAUCCCAGGCUUCCAGCACAGGCUCCACAAUAUGAAAGCACUCAAACGGAAUUCCCUGAGAGCACCGGGAAUGUGGCUUCCAAUGAAGAUGGUCGUCUUUUGCCGUGGAAUAUGACCUGAAGCUUCUUGACAUCUGAAGAUUUCCAAUGUCCACUUUGAGAGCCCACCCAUCAGAGCACUGUGGCAGCAGGAGUGUGGCCGAGAUUAGAGGGUGAAGACAGCUUUGUCGAAAUGAGCUACUGGCCUCGUGAGACCUGCUGAGGGGGUGAAGUGCGCAGGGACGAAUAAACCCUGCCAUCAAAAAUGUCACCUUCAUCCAUGAGACAACAAGGCAAUCGUGAAUUGUGGUCACUGUCUGCCAUCCCCAACUUCCUAGGCACCGAGUGGCACAGCCUUUUCCAGUAUCGGAGAAACUUCCAAUCCUGCUGAAAUGACUUGGUACUCUGUUUCCAGACAGGAACAUAAUUGCUCUAAAGCUCUCCAUUACCAAGGGAAAGGAUUUCCACUCAAUUAGAUCACAAAAUAGAGGAUUAUGCGGUUUGAGUCCCAACAUGGGGAAGACUUGAAGAGAUUGUGUGUCAGAAAAACUAACUGAAGACAAGAGCUACAAUGUGUGUUAGCACGGAGGCA